AAAUAUAAAAUCCAACAAAGAACAAUGUCUAUAAUUGCUCGACAGUAGAAAUAGAACCCUCUUCAUUGAACUCUUCUUCUUUCAUUUAGCUCAGUAUUAGACUUUGGGCCUUAUUGUUUGGGCCUAUUUUAAAAUAUAAAAUACUAGCCCAUAAUCUUAAAAUAUGUAUUUAAAGCCCAUAUUUUAUAGAAUUUUUUGUGGAUAUUUGACGGGU
rnacentral:lncRNA from 1 species